CGAACAAGAGCCUUGGAACGGUGGUGGCCGAUUAGACUCUGGCGCGCGAGUUCGUGUUGGGUACUCUCGUUCCAAUGCGUUUUAAAAGAGAAUGCAAUCGUCCGCCUUGAAUAUUAUUCAUGUUCUGGUUAAAAAAGGCACUAAUGAUUUAUGCUAUACAACGUUUGACAUGUUUGAACGAACGUAAAUAUUUUUCCCCCCUCGUUUAUGAAGACAAGUCCGGAGGGCAUAGAUCAUGUGCUAACAACACGGAGCUUUUUGAACAUAAAUUAUGAGUUUUUUCGAACAAAACUACAUUUGUUAUGGACCUGGGAUUCCUGGAAGUGACAUCUGAUGAAGAGAAUCAAAGCUGCUUUGCCGAGUUACAUCAGGCAAGGCUUUCUGGAGGCACUGUCAAUGCUAAGAAAAAGGAAAAGAUGAAAAUCCUUCAAACAGUCAAGCGCUGUCUCUCCGUUGUCAAUGAGGACUAUGAGGACGACGGUGAACAGGAUGCCCAUGAAUGUGUGUUGCUCCUCCUCUUUCAGCUGAAGGAGGAGGGUAUGGCAUUAAAGGGCUCCCCAGAGCCAUACACCUGCCCCGUGAAGCAGUUAGAAUUCAAGCUGAAGACUUUC
rnacentral:lncRNA from 1 species